ACUAGCAAGAGGACAUCAUAAUUACUAGCACUCAUACCAGCAUUUUGAAUAGUUUAGAGAAGCUAUUUGGUGCUAGUCAGCAGAAAGAAGUUGGAGGAGAUAUUCAGCAUCAAAUCGCUAUCAGUGAAAUGGUAUGUGAUGAAUCUAGAGUUCCAGAGAAGUAAUAUGGCAGAAAAAAAGAAGGGAGAUUGCGUGAGGGGUUGAGUUGUGAAGGGGUGCAUCAAAGUACUACAUUUUAAGGUGAGAAUGGAAUCAUCAACACAACCAGAGUGCUAGGCUGGUGGUCUACUUGUUAACCUAUGCUCUAUAGGUGGUGGUAUCGAUUCCUACUAUCCACCAAGUUUUUUCUCAGAAAUGCGGUGCAUGUGAGAGGGGCUGGUGGGGACCACUUCUGCCCGCACCUACCCGAUGCUAAGCACGCGCAUCAGGACCGUCCAUGCCCUCGUUGUGCAUUUCACGGUGUAAAACCGUUGUGUGUAUCACAGCUGGUUUUUUCUUCCAUAUUUCUGUUCUUUUAAUCUUUUACUGAACUAGAUGGGCAGGUGUCACCAUGUCAACUUCAUAACUACAGUAUCUCUAUCUUUACCCAACGUUUGGCCAGGUGACAGACUCAUAUUCUUUCUUUUACUAAAAAUCUGUAGCUCACGUGAAACUUGUAGUCAAAAGGCAGUCAAAUGUCAGUAGGGUAUGAUGAUAAAAUUAAAUAUUUAUUUGUGGUGAUUGAUACUCCGUGGAGGGUAAUAUGGUCAUUUUUGUAAUCUUCAAAAUAUUUAUUGCACUUAUUCUUAUAAGGAUGAUCUGGUCAUUUUUAUUUAACA